CAGCAGCCGCGGGAAUACGAGGGGGGCAAGCGUUGUUCGGAAUUAUUGGGCGUAAAGGGUGCGUAGGCGGCUUGACAAGUCUUGUGUGAAAUCUAUGGGCUCAACCCAUAGUCUGCACGGGAAACUGUCGGGCUUGAGAAUGGGAGAGGUGAGUGGAAUUUCCGGUGUAGCGGUGAGAUGCGUAGAUAUCGGAAGGAACACCUGUGGCGAAAGCGGCUCACUGGACCAUUUCUGACGCUGAUGCACGAAGGCUAGGGGAGCAAACAGGAUUAGAUACCCCGGUAGUCCCUGUCUCUUAUAC
rnacentral:rRNA from 1 species